CCCUUUGUUCCUUUCCUUUGUUGGGGCUUUGAAUUAACUGAGCUGAAUUAACAGCAGCUGAAGCAUCAUUCUAAUGCACAUCCUGUUAUGUAGAAAAAUCUGGUAUCUGUGAUGAGACAGAUGGAGCAGAGCAGGUAGCUUUUGAGCAGGCCUUUGAAAGAAAAGAGGAGAACGAGACCUGCCCUGACUAGAAAAGGUGACUCCUCAUCCCAGCUUUGUACCCCCCACUUCUCCCUGUGCUACUGUUCCUAGCUCACCUUGUGUCACAGUGCAGACUGCCGUACGUUUGACCCACAGAUAGAGGCUGGUACAUUUGUGGAAAGGAAAGCAGGUUGUGACACAGGGAUAUAAAAGAGACAGUCCUGAGUCAUCCAGCCCAGUCCUCUGACAUCAGCAGCAAACAAGUCAGGUCUUAUGUUAUAUGCAGAUUGAAACUGCUGAACAGACAAUUGGCAAGGAAGAAUUUUGAAGUCAAUCAAAGUAAAAUAAAGAGUUUGGCGAUUUCUGAUUAUAUUCAUCCUCA